GACAGAGAGAGAGAGAAAUAAAUUCAAAUGAACAAUCAAACUUGUUUCUUUAUUAAAAUAUAAAAUUCAUUCAUUUAUCAAUAUGCCAUAGCCUACCAUAUGUCUUUGUUAAAGAGCAUAAUACAAAGUCUUUUAGCAUGAAAGCACGUAUUUUUUAAUGUGUGACAGCGUCUAAAUCUAAAAAACUAAAUCUCUGCAGUUUGUAACAAACCAAACCGUGUGAAAAUCCGGUAAAAAUUCGGGGAGUUAUGAUUAUUGUAGUUGGGGAUACACAUUCCUCAGUAGAAAUUAAUGCAGGGGGGGCGCAUUGGAGACCCAUCCAAGAUGGCGGCCGCGCUGUACGUCAGCUCCAAUAGGCAGCGUCAGUCUAUGAGGCGUCUACAUAUAUUAUGUCUAUGGUUACAUCUAUCUAUGCUGCCUUCAAAAAUCGAUCAGAUGAAGGCAUCUCAUGAGACAGGAAGUGAAGCUAACUUUGGAUUCGGACGUGCCUUGAUGCCUUCCUACCUUGCAAUGUGUCCUCCGAAGGCAGCAUUUCUCAGUUUUCGGAUAUAGCCACCAUUCUCAUUCAGUGAAAAAUACAUCGCGGAGCAAAGAGGAAACCGACAACGUGCCUACAAACAAGACUUUUGAAGGAUGUGGAGUUCACUCACUGUCUUCUGAUGGUUUGAUUUCCAUCUUGAGCUGGAGGAAAGGCUUUGCCGCACUGACGAACGCUGCAUCUAAAUCCCAGUCGGACAGCAGAGACACGUAGACCUCCACACCUCCGCGGUCACGGGACAGCUCAAAUGCUCGUAUGAGGAUAUGCUGCAACACCUCCAGUGAGGUUAUUUGAGGAUCAACAGCAAAGGAGCGGAACUCCACCGGUAACACCCCUUCACACUUCUGCAGACAGAUUUUAAAG